CCUACGGGAGGCAGCAGUGGGGGAUAUUGCACAAUGGGGGAAACCCUGAUGCAGCGACGCCGCGUGGGCGAAGAAGUAUUUCGGUAUGUAAAGCCCUAUCAGCAGGGAAGAAGAAAUGACGGUACCUGAGUAAGAAGCACCGGCUAAAUACGUGCCAGCAGCCGCGGUAAUACGUAUGGUGCAAGCGUUAUCCGGAUUUACUGGGUGGAAAGGGAGCGCAGGCGGCACGGCAAGCCUGAUGUGAAAGCCCGCGGCCCAACCGCGGGACUGCAUUGGGAACUACCGGGCUGGAGUGCCGGAGAGGGAGGCGGAAUUCCUAGUGUAGCGGUGAAAUGCGUAGAUAUUAGGAGGAACACCAGUGGCGAAGGCGGCCUACUGGACGGUGACUGACGCUGAGGCUCGAAAGCGUGGGGAGCAAACAGGAUUAGAUACCCUGGUAGUC
rnacentral:rRNA from 1 species